rnacentral:rRNA from 1 species
UACGUAGGGUGCGAGCGUUAAUCGGAAUUACUGGGCGUAAAGCGUGCGCAGGCGGUUCGUUAAGUCAGAUGUGAAAGCCCCGGGCUCAACCUGGGAACUGCAUUUGAAACUGGCGGGCUUGAGUAUGGCAGAGGGGGGUGGAAUUCCGCGUGUAGCAGUGAAAUGCGUAGAGAUGCGGAGGAACACCGAUGGCGAAGGCAGCCCCCUGGGCCAAUACUGACGCUCAGACACGAAAGCGUGGGGAGCAAACAGG